UGGGGAGUGGGGUAAUUCGGCAGCCCGACGGGUUCUGGCCCCGUUAGUCCUGGUUCGAGUCCAGGCUCCCCAG
rnacentral:tRNA from 1 species